GCGCAGAGAGGCGGAGAGAACAGAUUCAACCCAAGUUUGAACGGUUACCUCUGUUUGCUAGCACUUUGAGAAAACGUGGUUACUGGAGAGGCCUGGAUGCUAAAACAAACUUUGGAGCUGCUUUUUUGUCGAACAUGAGUGAGACUGGAUGCUGAGCACACUUACGGCGUGAAGGUUUACUCAUUCAGCUGCUGCAGCCUGGACAGAGACACUGGCUCUCACCUUACAAACCAAACAGGUGUCACCCCAUUGUCCAUGACAUCGAUUGCUAACAUGUUGUCCAUGAUCACAGAGACAUCUCAGAGAGUCUUCGUACAAUGAAGAAGUUCUUUGAGACCAGGACAGAGGCCUCCAGCAUUCAAACUUCAACCAUUAAAUCACAGAGAGAAGAGACAGACAUGAUGACAUUCCCAGAAGGUCUUCAGCAGCAGUCGUCUUCUCCUCCUGCAGAGACAAGAACACGUGUUAAUCACAGAAACUGAUAAAUUUAUUUCCUAAACUUUCUACAACUUAGUAUCACAUAUUUUAGUGUGUUUUUCUAAUUACUACAGUCACAGUAAUGACUAGAAAUAAUUCUGAAACUCUAAAACAAGAACCUACUAAUUGUUACAUAGUUAUCUCUCAAAUUUCAGCGGUAAACAUGACCCAUGUAUCACAGAGAAAAAGGUGUUUCACUGCACUGUACUUAAAAAGGUAUAUGAAAAUUUUCUAAUAUUUCUUUUCAUUCUAAUGAAAUUACUGUGUUGAUAAAUUAUUUUACUUACUAAUUUUGUUAUUUUUCAUGACCUAUG